GCUGGGCAUGGUGGCAUGCAUCUCAGCUACUCAGGAGGCUGAGGCUGGAGAACUGCUUGAACCCAGGAGUUCUGGGCUGCAGUGCACUAUGCCAAUUGGGUGUCCACACUAAGUUCAGUAUCAAUACGGUGAACUCCUAGGAGAGAGGUCAUCAGG
rnacentral:sRNA from 1 species